UUUCCAACAAGUGUUCAAUUGUUAGCAGAGAGGAGACCCAUAGUGGGUAGCUCCUCUCUACAGGCAAGCCAUCCCAUCAGUGUUCAGUUCUCAGCAGGGAGGAGGCCUGGAGUGAGU